rnacentral:rRNA from 1 species
GAUGAACGCUGGCGGCGUGCCUAAUACAUGCAAGUCGAGCGAACAGACGAGGAGCUUGCUCCUCUGACGUUAGCGGCGGACGGGUGAGUAACACGUGGAUAACCUACCUAUAAGACUGGGAUAACUUCGGGAAACCGGAGCUAAUACCGGAUAAUAUAUUGAACCGCAUGGUUCAUUAGUGAAAGACGGUUUUGCUGGCACUUAUAGAUGGUUCCCGGCCUCAUUGGCUAGUUGGUACGGUAAAGGCUUCCCAAGGGAAGGAUGCGUGGCCGACUUGAGGGGCUGAGAGGCCACACUGGAACUGAGACAAGGUCCAGACUCCUACGGGAGGCAGCAGUAGGGAAUCUUCCGCAAUGGGCGAAAGCCUGACGGAGCAACGCCGCGUGAGUGAUGAAGGUCUUCGGAUCGUAAAACUCUGUUAUUAGGGAAGAACAAAUGUGUAAGUAACUAUGCACGUCUUGACGGUAACUAAUCAGAAAGCCACGGCUAACUACGUG